GUUUGAGACCGAAGGUUUCCAAGUGGCAGCGCUUCAUACUCAUAUUCAUACCCGCUUUCGCUCGGGGGAGAGGUUGCUCCCUUCUCCCCCCUGAAACUGAAGCUGCUGUCAUCAGAUUUGGUGUCUGUGAGCAUGAGCAUGCAUGAAUUCUGCAGUGAAGAUUCUACUUCCAAAUUGGGUCAUCAAAGAGUUUAGUUAAACACAAUUAAUAAGUGUAAAAGCAGACUGCAGCUGAAUUUACUGAGUCAAAAAUCAUAUUAUUAGAUGAACACCACCAGAAGAAAAUAGUAAGAUUGCAGAGCAUAGUGUGGGAAAGGAACCAUGGCAUUGAUUAAUUGAUAAUGACCUUAAACUUUAUUCUCAGCAUUAGAUUGACUUCUGCUUCCUGUUUCUAUACUGAAGCCCUCUAUUUGGUUCAGCUCUUAGUAGAUCAAGGCAAGCAUCAAAGAAUGUCCUUAAGAAACAGAUAGUCAAGGUAGCUGCCACUGGAGAGUCUUCAGAGGAUGAAGAAUUAAGCCUGGCAGGUAUUGUGAAAGUUUCCAAAAUGCCACGUCUGUGUUGGAUUAUAUAGCAUCCAAGGACAGUCUCAUCAGAUCUUGAAUGAAAUUGUUGUGAAAUGGGGGCUUGUUUAGAAAUGAAUACUUUCCAUGUAUAAGUGCAACUGAAAGGGAAUGAACCCCCUCCUGUCUGUCAAUGAUUAAUGGGAGAAAUAGAAUGUUUAUUAUUGAGAUGUAAUUUGCUAAUCUAGUCAUAAGCAGGGAGACUAUGAAUUAUUAGCAGAAUGUGUAAACUAGAAAAUGGAGUGAUUAAUUCAAAAUACAUUUAGAACUGGAUCCUCAGGUAGUGUAAAUUGAUGUAGGUCAUUUGAUUUAUCAGUUGAGUAACCUGGCUGUUUUCUAUUUUUCAAUAAACGUCACUUUUAUCAAAAA